UACCAGCACCCCGAGUGGUCGGGACGAUUAUUGGGCCUAAAGCCUCCGUAGCCGGUCUUACAAGUCCUCCGUUAAAUCCAGCUGCUUAACAGAUGGGCUGCGGAGGAUACUAUAAGACUAGGAGGCAGGAGAGGCAAGCGGUACUCAGUGGGUAGGGGUAAAAUCCGUUGAUCCAUUGAAGACCACCAGUGGCGAAGGCGGCUUGCCAGAAUGCGCUCGACGGUGAGGGAUGAAAGCUGGGGGAGCAAACCGG
rnacentral:rRNA from 1 species